GCCGAGGUAGCUCAGUGGUAGAGCAGAUGAUUCGUAAUCAUCAGGUCGUGGGUUCAACUCCCAUCCUCGGCUCCA
rnacentral:tRNA from 1 species